CUUUGAAUAACUGCCAUACCUACCACUUUUCGCAAGGCCUGUUCAUCGGAUUUUUUCAAAAACAAACCCCCAGUGUCAAAGGGGUUAAAAUCCCCAUCUCCCCCGUCUCACUCUCUCGCUCUCUCUCUCGUGCCGAGACCCUAGCCUCCCUUCCUCUGCCGAGUGCCGAUCGAAGCUCUGAUUCCUCGUUGGCCAUCGUCUCAUCACUUACUCUCCGUCGUUGACUUCUCUCUCUCUCUCUCUCUCUCUCUCGUACCGAAACCCUAGCCUCCUGUCACUCUUUCUCUGCCGACCGAAGCUCUGUUUCCUCGUGGCCGUCGUCUUCAUCACUUUUUCGCUCCGUCAUCGACGUCAAGAAACCAAGAUUUGAAAUCUCAGAAAACGACGCCAGUGUUGACUGAAGAUCAGCCAGGAAGAUGGGCAGGGUUCAAUUGAGCCUUGUAGUUGCAAUGUUCAGCAUGGUGCUAUUAAUUGGGCAAGUAGCAAAGGAAGCCAAAGCCUCCAGUUCCACUUCUGCCUUUGUGCAGAACGCUAUCUACUCCAACAAGAUCACCAUCUUCUCUAAAUCCUACUGCCCGUACUGCUUGCGUGCCAAGCACAUAUUCAGUGAACUACAUGAGCAACCUUUUGUUGUUGAGCUUGAUCUCCGAGAUGACGGAGGGCAGAUUCAGAAUGUUAUUCUGGAUAUGGUUGGCCGAAGCACUGUCCCUCAAGUUUUUGUGAAUGGGAAGCAUAUCGGUGGCUCUGAUGAUCUCAGAGCUGCGGUCUUGAGUGGUCAAUUGCAGAAAGUUCUUGGCACGAGCUGAUGUGACACUGGGCUCAAAUGGAAGCAUAUGCUAUGUUGCUGGUUAUGAGAUGGAAAGCUUUAUCUUUGCAAAAUGAGCUAAAUAUUACAGUGAGAGUGUCUGUUAGGAUUGACAGAAGAAUGAAUCAUCGCCUGUCUUUAAUUCCAUUGAAGAACUUCUCUGCUCAGUUGGAGAGAGAUGUCUCUCAUCUUCAGGUAAUAAGCUUCAAAUUGUAUUAUGUGUGUAAUCCGGUUCUGUUUGUGGAUUUUCAAAUAAAAUUUUUUUGAUCCAUUCCAUCUCCACCUGCUAAUUUAGGUUUAAUAUAUAUUCUAUUAAACUAUUGUGCGGCGGCUGUAUUGUAUCUUUGAUUAUCAUAGCACACUAAGGAGAUAGGGAUGAGGACUUGCUAUAUGGUUUUAAUUGCCCUUGAACCGGGACAAGGAAAUAUGCUCUUCAUUUUCGUAGUGACCAAGAAACAUUGCUUUCCAUGACAUGAUUAAUGUCCAAAACUUCAUUAACAUCAGCUUAGGAACAGACAACUUCAACAAAAUCACAACCUUCCUUAUUAGACCAAAAUAUAUUACACACUCCAAAGAGAUGACAGCCUUUUCAGAAUGUCAAAUGCUGCUGUGUUACUACUGAUUAGGAAGGCUCUACAUAUGUAUCCGGUCGCCAAUUACCUUUCUGUGCACUGAGCAUCCCUUCUUGGUUCUUGGAGAAGGUUAAAUGAACCUCCCAGUGCAAAGAUUUCAGCAAGUUCUCAACUUCCCCAAUUGUGUUCGACUCAUCACGAACAAUCAACUUGCCUCCAGCUUUGAGAAAAGAUGAUCCGCAUGCAGUAGGUCAUAAGUGCGUGGGUACGUGCUGAAGGAUUCACACCAGUCAUGGUAUAUCCCAAAAAGGCCUCGUUCAUAGAUUAUGGGAAGCGUAUCUGGCGAGUCUAUGUUCACCACAUUCAACACCCAUACUCGAAGAUCCUUCAGAGCAGCGGCAAACCUGCACGCGGAAUAUCCCAUAAGUACCUUAGAUGUAUGAUGAGCCAUGAUAUAUACAUGCAUGGACGCAUUAAACAUAUGAAAAGUAGAUAAAACAUCAAUAAUAUUACCCUCCA